GACAGAGGUGCCAAGCGUUUAGGCGGAAUCACUGGGCUUAAAGCGUGUGUAGGCGGAUGCCUAAGUACCUUGUGAAAUCCCACGGCUCAACCGUGGAACUGCUUGGUAUACUGGGUGUCUUGAGCCAUCUAGGGGCCUACCGGAACAAAUGGUGGAGCGGGUGAAAAUGCGUAGAUAUCAUUUGGAACGCCAAUGGUGAAAACAGGUAGCUGGGGAUGUGCUGACGCUGAGACACGAAAGCCAGGGGAGCAAACGGG
rnacentral:rRNA from 1 species